GCGCUCCGGCCUUCCUCGCAGCGCCGCGGGGUUGCGCCCGCCGCUGCCGCGCCCUGGGGCUCGGGCCUCCGCGACCAGCUGCGGCCCUGCUCGGUUCACAGCAAAUCUGAGUGUUUUAACUACAGCAUGGAAUAUAGAAAACAACAAAGAAUGUCAGCUAAUGUUUUAAUCUUACCUGAAAUUCUACAGGUAAGUUCAUCGUAAUAAUUUUUUAAUUAUCCUGAUUGGUUAAAAUGCCCAUAAUAGUCUCCUUUACAAGAUUUAAGUAUCAUUUUACUC
rnacentral:lncRNA from 1 species